GACGAACGCUGGCGGCGUGCCUAAUACAUGCAAGUUGAGCGAUGAAGAUUGGUGCUUGCACCAAUUUGAAGAGCAGCGAACGGGUGAGUAACGCGUGGGGAAUCUGCCUUUGAGCGGGGGACAACAUUUGGAAACGAAUGCUAAUACCGCAUAAUAACUUUAAACAUAAGUUUUAAGUUUGAAAGAUGCAAUUGCAUCACUCAAAGAUGAUCCCGCGUUGUAUUAGCUAGUUGGUGAGGUAAAGGCUCACCAAGGCGAUGAUACAUAGCCGACCUGAGAGGGUGAUCGGCCACAUUGGGAAUGAGACACGGCCCAAACUCCUACGGGAGGCAGCAGUAGGGAAUCUUCGGCAAUGGACGAAAGUCUGACCGAGCAACGCCGCGUGAGUGAAGAAGGGUUUCGGAUCGUAAAAAUCUGUUGGUAGAGAAGAACGUUGGUGAGAGUGGAAAGCUCAUCAAGUGACGGUAACUACCCAGAAAGGGACGGCUAACUACGUG
rnacentral:rRNA from 1 species